GAUUUUUUUUCAUGAUAUUAGAUGAAGAUAUUAUGUAAUUAAUAUAAUAUUUUAAUUAGCUUUGUGCUAAUUUUAAAAGCUAAUUGUUCCUUUCAAUUGCAGCACGGUCAUGUCAGGUUUGGGUAGAAAGUGUAUCCAUCCGGAAGGAUAAAGAAAAAGGAAGGAGAUAACCAAACUAAUGCCAACCGGGAAGAUGAUGGUGAUACUCCUACAGAGGACAAUGUUUACAUCAACAUGGAUGAUACCAAUGACCGGGACACGAGGGACGUUCUUCUUAGGGGUCGCCCGUGACAAGGACUCUAUGCACUUGAUUUGCCGCCUCCUCCCCACGUCUUCAGCGGUGUGCGUGUAUCGUCUACUCAUUGGCACGCGCGGCUUCGUCAUCCUGCCACCCCCAUCGUCAGUCAUGUUGUUCAUCGACAUGCUCUUCCAGUUUUGUCCAAUAAAAACCAUGCAACAAUUUGCGAUGCCUAUAAGCAAGGGAAGAGUCAUCAACUUCUGUUUUCAUAUUUGAAUCAUGUAGUCAAAACUCCACUUGAGCUUGUGUUUUCUGAUGUGUGGUGUCAUACCCAAACUUGUCUUAAUUAGUGGUCAUAAUUACCAUGUCAGUUUCAUUGAUGCUUACAGUCGGUUUACUUGGAUUUAUCUUAUUCAGCGCAAA